AACCCCCAAAAUCUCUUCAUCGAUUUAACCCAGGUUGAACAUAAGCUCCUUGAAACCCUAAAACAAAAAUCAAUUGAACCUGUGAAACUCGCUGAAACCCGAAAACCAUCUUCCCCCAUCGUUCACCAUUGUCCAUUGUUUCAGAAUUCGUUAACCUAGAAAUUUUUCAUCCUUUCGCCAUUGUUCAUGGCAAUUGAACCUUUGUCUUCUCACAAGAAGUUAAGUUACUCACUCUUACUCAAUCAACAACAUAUUUUGUUAUUUUUGUUUAUAUAAGAUUGAUUGAAAUCAUCUAAUUGAGGAAUUAUGUUGUUGUUUUGAUUUUGAUUUGUGGUAGAACCGAGACUUAAUCUGUAUCCUGAUUAUUAUUUUUUUUGUUACUUUUUAGAUUAACCCACAACAAGUGUCAUCUGCUAGUGUAAAUUUAACAACAGAGACAACAAUAGUUUGAAUUGUGAGUAGCUUAUUUUCUUGUUAGUGUUAUUAGUUAUGCUUCAUUCAAGUCUGAACACUAAGUGAUGUAUUUUCUGGUUCUUUGGCAGAAUUUUUUUUUUAAAACAAUUACAAGCUUGUCUUAUAGCUUUCAAAGAAUUAGCUCGAUGUGGUGAAGGUCAAAUGGCAUUUGAUGUAAUUCUUUAUGGUAUCCACUAUUUGAUAAAGUUUU
rnacentral:lncRNA from 1 species